rnacentral:rRNA from 1 species
AAGCUCGUAGUUUGAAUUUCGGACCUGGCUGGGUGGUCUUGCCGCAAGGUAAGCACUGCCUCUGGUCGGGUCUUUCCUUCUGGGGAACCUGUGUGCCCUUAAUUGAGUGCGCAGGGGAUCCAGGACUUUUACUUUGAAAAAAUUAGAGUGUUUAAAGCAGGCUUUCGCUUGAAUACAUUAGCAUGGAAUAAUAGAAUAGGACUUUGGUUCUAUUUUGUUGGUUUCUAGGACCGAAGUAAUGAUUAAUAGGGAUAGUUGGG